rnacentral:rRNA from 1 species
CAAGUCCUUCUUGAACGGGGCCACUUACCCACAGAGGGUGCCAGGCCCGUAAGGCUGUCCACGGUCGUCGGCGAGCUUCUCCUUAGAGUCGGGUUGCUUUAGAGUGCAGCCCUAAGUAGGUGGUAAACUCCAUCUAAGGCUAAAUAUGACCACGAGACCGAUAGCGAACAAGUACCGUGAGGGAAAGUUGAAAAGGACUUUGAAGAGAGAGUUCAAUAGUACGUGAAACCGUUCAGGGGUAAACCUGCGAAACCCGAAAAGUUCGAACGGGGAUAUUCAACGCGUCCGGUCUGGCGGACGAGCCGGGUCGGCUCUCGACGGGCGUCCGUUCGCGGGCGCUCGCGGACGUCCCGGCCGUCCUGUCACCGGCGCGUGCACUUAUCCCCUUGUAGGACGUCGCGAUCCGUCGGGCGUCGGUCUACGGUCGGCGGUGGAGCCCGCGCGCGCCUCGGCGCGCGCGAACCCGUCGAUUCUCCGGCCGACUCGCUCGACGG